AACGAACGCUGGCGGCAUGCCUAACACAUGCAAGUCGAACGAGACCUUCGGGCCUAGUGGCGCACUGGUGCGUAACGCGUUGGAACCUGCCCUUAGGUUCGGCAUAACUCCCCGAAAGGGGUGCUAAUACCGGAUAAUGUCUUCCGACCAAAGAUUUAUCGCCUUUGGAUGGGCUCGCGUUGGAUUAGCUUGUUGGUAGGGUAAAAGCCUACCACUGCGACGAUCCAUAGCUGGUUUGAGAGGAUGAUCAGCCACACUGGGACUGAGACACGGCCCAGACUACUACGGGAGGGAGGAGAGGGGAAUAUUGGAAAAUGGGCGGAAGGAUGAACCAGCAAUGACGGGUGAGUGAUGAAGGCCUUAGGGUUGUAAAGCUAGUUUACACGGGAUGAUAAUGACAGUACCGGGAGAAUAAGCACCGGCUAACUCCGUG
rnacentral:rRNA from 1 species